AGCACAUGAGCCAUUGGGAAAAAAGCAGAGAGAGAAAAUGCUCUCGGGCUUUUUUCCCCACCAUCUCUUUCCCAUGCUCUUCUUUCCAAAAUUGAAUUAAUUUCUUCAACUCCUUUACUCAACGAAUCUCUACCUCUUAGAUUCUCAAAUCUUUGCAACUUUCCCGCGAGUUCUUCAUAGUUACAAAGAUAUCCAAAUCUCUGUUUCUGAGAAACAUGGAGAGAUUGAAGACGAAGGAGAAAGCCCCCAUCUUUUAAGACUUUUACCAAGAAGCUUUUCUCCCUGUUUGGGAAGUCCAGAUCUAGCAAUAAAAAUCUGCUUGGAUCUAUUCCCUUGUCUCCAUGAAUUUCCAUGAUUCUUCACAGAUCCCUCCCAUCUCUUGCUGAAGAACAAAUCUCAAAUUUGGAAAUCUUCAUUAAACUCUCAAAAAAUCUUCGUCAACACUCCGUCAAGAACACCCGACCAUCUUCGUCAACUUUGAACUCUUCUAGCCCUGUGCUAAGGUUUUUCUAAAGAAUUGUGCUAAGGUUUUUCUAAACAACACUGCCAUAGCCUCAGCUAUCUUGCUAACUCAAGUCUUCAAACAACACAAGCUCGUUUUUCAUAAGCCUUCUAGCUUAGUGCUAAGAUUAUUCUACCAAAUAUCCCUCUCUGCGUCCUCCAGUACGAAUAUUCAAAGCCAGAAGCCAUUAUCAUGUUUUUUCUCAAGCUGCUUCUCUUAUAAUCAAGUCUGAAGCUUUCUCCCUUCUUGAGAAGCUUUGGUUAAUCUACUUUUCUAGUUGAAGGCUCUGCGGCUGCGCUUGCUGAAGAAGGAAGGCUCUAGCUAAAGAGACAAGAAUGGCGAUCCCAGAUCUAGAGUUUUCUGACAGUUCCUAUGGCCGUCUCAAGCUCUCCGGCAGCGCUUUUUGUCUUCCUCCGACGUUUCGGUCUUUGACCUCGUCUAAAUCUUCGACCUCGUCAAAAUCUGCCUGUUAGCUCGUCGGUCUUGUUUGUUGUGGCGGUGGAGAUAUUCACCGGCGACAAGGAAAAAACUAUUUUUGGAUUGGACCAGUAAAUUAGUGGACCUAUCUCAAUUCUGGGUUAAGCCCAAGAGAAAUAUUGUAAUUGAUAAAAAUUUAAAGACGGUAUUGGGC
rnacentral:lncRNA from 1 species